CUUUUUCUAGAUUUAUAUGAUUAGAGAAUUAGUUAGAAAUAGAAAGUAUAUUAAAAAUAUAUUUAAUGAAUCUUUUAGUCUCUUAAUUUAAUUUAAUUUAAUAUUUCAUCUUAAUCUUUUAAUUAAAAAACGUUACAUUGUAGUCUUUUAGAACUCUUAUGUUAGCCUAUCUGAUCAUUUCUUUUAAAUUUUUAGAAAAAAACAUUAAUUGCUGUCUAUGUGGCAGUUCAGAUGGAUUUUU
rnacentral:lncRNA from 1 species